CAGCCUCCCAAGUAGCUGUGACUACAGGUUUGCACCACCACAUCCAGCUGAUUUUUUUGUUUGUUUGUUUGUUUGGUAGAGACAGGGUCUUGGCUGUGUUGCAGAGACUGGUCUCGAACUUCUGGGCUCACACAAUUCUCCCACCUCUGCCUCCCAGGUGGUGUGAUUACAGGUGUGAGCCACUGCCCCCAGCCCAGGAAGAAGCUGUGUUCUAUGCUGAUACCGUUUCUCUGUGGGGAUCCUCAAACUGCACAGGAUGAAGUUGAAGUUACUUUCUCUGCCUAAGAUCCAGACAUCCCCCCUCAACAAGGAAAACAAUUGUUUUUUUUUCUUCUCCUUUCUAUAAAAUCAAGAAUGGAACCACACCUGAACAGACUCUUCCGCAAGAUAAUGUCUCCCUCAGGCUCAUUGAAAUUCCAAAGAGAAUUAUGUACAAGUUAAUCUCUGUUCCUAAAUCCAUUCAUUCUCCCCAGCA
rnacentral:lncRNA from 1 species